CCCCAGUAGUGUUGCCACUAAUUAUGUGAACGUAUGUAGCACUAACAGUGAUCGAAUGCGUGACAGUGCGCGGUGGUGGUGGCAGCGGUGAGCGUGGGGACAUAGUCCGACACACGGCUACGCUAGAGAGGUACCGACGAACCAGAACUCAAGGAACCAGUGAGAAACGAGAAAAACGUUAUUCAUAUUAGCUUCUCACUACGUAAGCAAGAAGGUGCGUGGCUCUUCGACGUGAAGUAGUCGUAGGUCCUGGUCCCCGGGCUACACUAGCAACGCUUCGGUUAGCAACUAACAGCUAGCACGAGGUGGUAAAGAAACAGUGCGUGUACAGAGAAAUCUCCUGCGUGUUUAUAGAGGAAGGAGUCCACGGUGCGUGUUUAUAGAGGAAGGAGUCCACCGUGCGUGUGUAUAGCGGAAGGAGAGAUGAAGAAGGAAAGAAAGAUCUUCGUCUGGCUCGUGUUCAUCGUGGUGCUGGUGAUCGGUUCGCACUUCCUAGCGGAGUACAUACGCCAAGACGAUCACUCGCUUCGAUUAUCGAUACCUGAAUCCUCGGCGAGGGAGGUCAGAGCGUGGGAGGAGCUGGAGAGGGAGACAGAG